AUUGAACGCUGGCGGCAGGCCUAACACAUGCAAGUCGAACGAGUGGCGGACGGGUGAGUAAUGUCUGGGAAACUGCCUGAUGGAGGGGGAUAACUACUGGAAACGGUAGCUAAUACCGCAUACCAUCGGAUGUGCCCAGAUGGGAUUAGCUAGUAGGUGGGGUAAAGGCUCACCUAGGCGACGAUCCCUAGCUGGUCUGAGAGGAUGACCAGGCACACUGGAAUGGAGAAACGGUGCGGAGGCCUACGGGGGGCAGGAGUGGGGAAUAUUGCACAAUGGGAGGAAGCCUGAUGCAGAAAGGCGGCGUGGAUGAAGAAGGCCUUCGGGUUGUAAAGUACUUUCAGCUGGGAGGCGUUACCCGCAGAAGAAGCACAGGCUAACUCCGUGCCAGCAGCCGCGGUAAUAC
rnacentral:rRNA from 1 species